rnacentral:rRNA from 1 species
AGUGAACGCUGGCGGUAGGCCUAACACAUGCAAGUCGAACGGCAGCACAGUAAGAGCUUGCUCUUACGGGUGGCGAGUGGCGGACGGGUGAGGAAUACAUCGGAAUCUACUUUUUCGUGGGGGAUAACGUAGGGAAACUUACGCUAAUACCGCAUACGACCUACGGGUGAAAGCAGGGGUUCUUCGGACCUUGCGCGAUUGAAUGAGCCGGUGUCGGAUUAGCUAGUUGGCGGGGUAAAGGCCCAACAAGGCAACGCUGCGUAGCUGAUCUGAGAGGAUGAUCGGCCACACUGGAAAUGAGACACGGUCCGGAGUCCUACGGGAGGCAGCAGUAGGGAAUCUUCAGCAAUGGGCGAAAGCCUGACGGAGCAACGACGCGUGAGUGAUGAAGGUCUUCGGAUCGUAAAACUCUGUUAUUAGGGAAGAACAUAUGUGUAAGUAACUGUGCACAUCUUGACGGUAGCUAAUAAGAAAGCCACGGCUAACUACGUG